rnacentral:rRNA from 1 species
UACGUAGGGUGCAAGCGUUAAUCGGAAUUACUGGGCGUAAAGCGUGCGCAGGCGGUUAUGUAAGACAGAUGUGAAAUGCCCGGGCUUAACCUGGGAACUGCAUUUGUGACUGCACGGCUAGAGUGUGUCAGAGGGGGGUAGAAUUCCACGUGUAGCAGUGAAAUGCGUAGAUAUGUGGAGGAAUACCGAUGGCGAAGGCAGCCCCCUGGGAUAACACUGACGCUCAUGCACGAAAGCGUGGGGAGCAAACAGG